rnacentral:rRNA from 1 species
GACGAACGCUGGCGGCGUGCCUAAUACAUGCAAGUUGAGCGCUGAAGGUUGGUACUUGUACCAACUGGAUGAGCAGCGAACGGGUGAGUAACGCGUGGGGAAUCUGCCUUUGAGCGGGGGACAACAUUUGGAAACGAAUGCUAAUACCGCAUAAAAACUUUAAACACAAGUUUAAAGUUUGAAAGAUGCAAUUGCAUCACUCAAAGAUGAUCCCGCGUUGUAUUAGCUAGUUGGUGAGGUAAAGGCUCACCAAGGCGAUGAUACAUAGCCGACCUGAGAGGGUGAUCGGCCACAUUGGGACUGAGACACGGCCCAAACUCCUACGGGAGGCAGCAGUAGGGAAUCUUCGGCAAUGGACGAAAGUCUGACCGAGCAACGCCGCGUGAGGGAAGAAGGUUUUCGGAUCGUAAAACUCUGUUGGUAGAGAAGAACGUUGGUGAGAGUGGAAAGCUCAUCAAGUGACGGUAACUACCCAGAAAGGGACGGCUAACUACGUG